UGGAAGUGGCUGCCUCAAAGGAACAGCCAUUAUUGCUGUGGUUUUAGCUGCUGCUGCUGUUCUAUAUUCCAACCAUGAUGAGGCUACAACUGAGCUGAAGAACCUGGUGGACUCAUUGGACACGAAUCAUCUAAACUUUUGUAAAUACUAACAAUGGCUUGAGGAUGUCACAAGUUCACUGAUUUGCUGGAGUAUAAACAAUUUAUGUAGACCUUUCGAGUGGUAUGUUGCAAAUGUAGAGACUGAGAUUGAAGCUGAAGACUUAGAGAAACAUGACUGAGCUAGAAAAGUCGGUUUAGUUCAACAGCAUCAAAGGCUUGUGACGAGACUUAUGGAAGCAGAAUCCUUUGACGACUACACACAACCGUCCAUGUAUGUUCUUCACAAGAGAGACACAUACGUAGACAUUCUUGGAUUGUCUCCUGUCAUAGGGAUGUUGAAAUCGGCUAACAAGAACAUGAAUCUCCCACUACACACAACAUGCUUUGUUUCCACCACUGCAUUAGUUUAGGAUUUACAUGAUUCUUUUCAACUGUAUAGAAAAAAGGCUUUAGCAAAAAAAAAAAAAAAACUGUAUAGAAAAAAGGUUUACUUGUUAUGUUUUAACUUUGAACCCUAAAAACUAGUUAGUGUGGAGGAGAACU